rnacentral:rRNA from 1 species
UUUAUGGAGAGUUUGAUCCUGGCUCAGGAUGAACGCUGGCGGCGUGCCUAAUACAUGCAAGUCGAGCGAACGGACGAGAAGCUUGCUUCUCUGAUGUUAGCGGCGGACGGGUGAGUAACACGUGGAUAACCUACCUAUAAGACUGGGAUAACUUCGGGAAACCGGAGCUAAUACCGGAUAAUAUUUCGAACCGCAUGGUUCAAAAGUGAAAGACGGUCUUGCUGUCACUUAUAGAUGGAUCCGCGCUGCAUUAGCUAGUUGGUAAGGUAACGGCUUACCAAGGCAACGAUGCAUAGCCGACCUGAGAGGGUGAUCGGCCACACUGGAACUGAGACACGGUCCAGACUCCUACGGGAGGCAGCAGUAGGGAAUCUUCCGCAAUGGGCGAAAGCCUGACGGAGCAACGCCGCGUGAGUGAUGAAGGUCUUCGGAUCGUAAAACUCUGUUAUUAGGGAAGAACAUAUGUGUAAGUAACUGUGCACAUCUUGACGGUACCUAAUCAGAAAGCCACGGCUAACUACGUGCCAGCAGCCGCGGUAAUACGUAGGUGGCAAGCGUUAUCCGGAAUUAUUGGGCGUAAAGCGCGCGUAGGCGGUUUUUUAAGUCUGAUGUGAAAGCCCACGGCUCAACCGUGGAGGGUCAUUGGAAACUGGAAAACUUGAGUGCAGAAGAGGAAAGUGGAAUUCCAUGUGUAGCGGUGAAAUGCGCAGAGAUAUGGAGGAACACCAGUGGCGAAGGCGACUUUCUGGUCUGUAACUGACGCUGAUGUGCGAAAGCGUGGGGAUCAAACAGGAUUAGAUACCCUGGUAGUCCACGCCGUAAACGA